rnacentral:rRNA from 1 species
AGAGUUUGAUCAUGGCUCAGGAUGAACGCUAGCUACAGGCUUAACACAUGCAAGUCGAGGGGAAACGACAUCGAAAGCUUGCUUUUGAUGGGCGUCGACCGGCACACGGGUGAGUAACGCGUAUCCAACCUGCCCACCACUUGGGGAUAACCUUGCGAAAGUAAGACUAAUACCCAAUGAUAUCCCUAGAAGACAUCUGAAAGGGAUUAAAGAUUUAUCGGUGAUGGAUGGGGAUGCGUCUGAUUAGCUUGUUGGCGGGGUAACGGCCCACCAAGGCGACGAUCAGUAGGGGUUCUGAGAGGAAGGUCCCCCACAUUGGAACUGAGACACGGUCCAAACUCCUACGGGAGGCAGCA